ACUAAACAUAAGACUCUGUUCACACUAACACAGCUAUGCACAAUGGUGCCUAAGACCACUAAUAAUAGCUCUCUCUAAAUCCUGCACUGAUGAGAAUGUAUGUGAUGACACCCAGAGACCACAUGUCACACGAUUUGUCAUACUUUUCAGGACCAAGGACUUCUGGGGCUGGAGAAUUGAGAAAAAAAACACGAAUUAACAGAGUACCAGGCUGUUUCCUACCAAGGAAGAAAAGGAGGAGGACUGGACCAGACCCAGACUAACUUUUGGGAUGGGGUGAAUGCCAUUUUAAAUUCUGCAGGCUCCCUCUUUGCAUUACAUCCACAGGAGAAGAUCUGCCACCCCUUCCUACAGCCUACAGACCCACUGUAGCAGGAGGAACGAGAAACACAGAAUAAAUGCAUUUUGGAGGACUCACCCACAUAAUAAGGAGUGUAACAGGGGGUCUGCAGUGCAUUUUGUACAGUGGUUUCUUUGGCAAAGCCGAAGUCUGUGAGUUUAAGUACAGUAUCCUUUUCUUUUGACGUGUAAAGCAAGUUUUCAGGCUGAAAGACCACCAAGAGAAAGGAUAAGCAGGGCAAUGAAGAGAGGCCUCCAACGAGCUGUGCAGCCAAACCACUCCUGCUUGCCUUGAUCACCACCAAUAUGCGGACCCCCUCUUUACCUCACAUCCCAUCAUAUCACACAGAAAGUUCCCUUCCAACACAUCAGCACCUUUGCUCAGAGUAAGGAUCAGUGUCCCUUGCAACAUGGUGUUAGUUCACUGAGCACGUUUAGGGAGCAUUUGAGGCUAAGCACUUUGGUUUCUGUGCUGGUGAUAGGCAGUGGCACACAGCUCCACAGAAGUGUGUAUAUAUACACAUACCUGAACUGUUAAGCCAUUCUCCAGUUCCUACCUACGGACCAUCUCCACCCUGUACAUGUAACCCUCAGUGACACCAAACAAUGUCAGUUCUCCUGCCAACUAAACACACAGAAGCACCCAUAGAAACUUCAUAAACCCUUUAUUACAAGAAAAGUAUAAUUCAGAAAACAAAUAAUAACUGAUAAAGACUGUAGAUAGAGGUACAGCACCUAGUCUAAGUUUACUUCACGCAGCGUUAUUUUCUUGUUAAUUAACUGGAUUCCAAGUAGCUAGUACCUCUUCAGUUAACCAUCAGACUGUCACCCAGAUCCCCCUGCAUUCUCUACACAACUGGAAAGCAUUAGCACAGAUGAACAUUUUGACCUUGGACUAGAAGUGAUCUAGUUGCGAACAAAUCCCCCCUCACACUGGCAGAGGAACAGGAACACUUAGAUCAUCUAUUUGUACUCCUAGUUCUAUUUAAACCACCACCACCCAUUUAUUUUUCCACCCUACACUCUUUUCCCCUGACCACACACCUUCAGACCUCACCUUGACGUCUCUAUGGGCAAUGUUCAUUGAGUGCAGAUACUGGAUGGCUGUGCCGAUGUCUCUCAUUAUUUCAGAGGCCUCUAUAAAUACAAUUUUAGAGAAAGAUCACAUUAACAUUCCCACCGUAACACAGGGACAUGCUCGGGAAUGCUUAUGACUUACAAACAGCUUGCUGGAAUACAUGGCUAGCAUCAAGACUAGAAAAUCUAAAAUUAGCCCCAGCAGCUGUGUUUUGGUUUUGCAGGCAACCAUACCCCAAUUCCCCGGCUGCUCAGCCCUCCUCCCGAGCAGGCACAGCAACUGAACAGUUGAGAAUUCUGCUUUUUAUGAGCUUGGAAAUUUGUGCUUUAAUUCGCUCACUGGAAAAGCAGAGAAGGUACACAAGCAACUCCCAGCCAGGACACAGCUCCGGUAGUUCAGGACAUGACCUUGCUUAUCCUAGACAGAAGUUUAAUUUUCAGCUUCUAGUUCAGGGGUAAUGGGAGGAUCUAACAGAUCUUCUAAAAAUAGAGCAACAUAACAAUAUGAUAAUUUGAGGACAGGUCACGUCUUUUUCCUCGCUGUCUUUAGAAGUUUUCCUUGGAAGAAAUGAAGUCAGCAGUUCUACCCUGCAGAGCCCCAGCCUCCCGCUACCAAACAAGAUGCUUCUAAAAUUUAACAUAUAUCCCAGUGGUAAAUUCUCUGGCUGGUGAGCUGCCUUGCAAGAGCAGUACUCAAGAUCUGGAUGAGUUCAGUUACACACGGAGAGUUUCAGAGCAGGGAGGUGUGACAUUCCCAUUGUAGCAAAUGAGCAUUAUAUUACAUCUUCAUUAACAGGGAAACAGAAAUAGCCACUUCAAUUUGCUGCUCUUUUCUGCACAGGUAGGAACCUCAGCUGCAGCAGUGAGAGGGAAAAGAGAAAUUAUUGUACUGUAACCUGGAAGCCAUUUUCACAUCACUUUUAAUUGAAAUUAUGCAAUCUCAGGCAAGAACAACCAGAAAAGCCAAAAACAUCCAUUUCCUCCAAGGAAAGCUGUGCAAAACCUCCCCCUUCCUGGCAUAGGCCGAGAAGCCUGGCUCUAAUGGAGAGUUGUGGCUGAUGAAUAAAUGGCCAGCGAACCUGGGGAAUGCAGGGGAAUGCAGUGCUACAGGGCUUAUUCAUCUCAGGAAUGAAUGAAAGGGUAUUUUUAUCUUAACACUCCCAAAUGGUUUCUGAAGAAACACGUAGGGUAUUCUACAAUGCUAUUUAACGCAGCAAAAAAUCCUGUCUGUAGCACCAAGGAUCAUCAGAACAGUUCCCUCCCUAGAAUCUUUAUUUGUUCCUUUCUAAAAUACAAGUGUCUGAAAAUGCUCAUUCUCCCUCACAACCCUCAUGUCAGUUCAAGGAUUCAUCCCGGGCCAGGAAACAUGGGAACACAGGAUCAAGAAUAGCCCAGCCUCUAUAGCAGCCUUCCAAAACACAAGCUCAGGUAUAAAUUGUCCCUCUUCGAAUCAUUUUGUCAGUACGCCAGUUACAAACACUAAUAUUUUCAUUCCUGAUUAGAAAUAACCUCAUUUGUUGUGAACGGGCAAGGAGAACCACAUUCAAGCACACCUGUAGUACACAGCAAAUAAUGAUCAACACCGACAGUAAAAAUGGCAAGAGUAUUCUGCUGCAAGCUCUGUCACUGGCUCCUAGCAGGUCUGUAAGCACACACACAGUCCCUAUUAUAGAUGAGGAGGCUUGUUUACAGCGUGGCUAAUAACACUUCCUUUCAAGUACUACUUUAAAACCCUCGAAUAAGAGAUAUUUCAUCAAAUGUGAUUUGCUCAUUAUAUUCCCCACCUCACAGUAUAGCUGCGCAUGGGGUUGUUGUUUAAGGGACGGCCAGAAUAAAAAUCACAGCAGGAACUGAGCUGAUGUUGGAGGUGGUCUGGCAGAAGACCAGGGACAAGAGCAAUAGAGGCUGUGGUGGCUCAUAAUUGAAAAAGCUGAGCAAAUGUGUAUAAGGAAUUUUCUUCCAACCUUCCACAUUGUGCCUCAAGUUGGCACAGUCCGGUAACUUCUAAUUCACAGGAAGCUUUAGAAGUAACUGCUUACUACAGAAUUGAAAAUAAAUAAACAGAAACAACAACAACAAUCAAACCAAAGAAAAAAAAAAAAUCCUGUAACAGACCCAAGCAGGGGGACAAAGCAAAGAGGCAAUUUGUCACAAACUUUAAACUUCUGAUUUUUCACCUCUCUCGGUGAAAGCUUGGUCUCCUCUCUCCUGGAUCCUGCUGAACAGCUCUCCCCCCUCCAUGCUGAAACAAAGAACACACAGAAACAACAACAGAAAUACCUUACGUGAGCAGGAAGGACCAAAUUAGCACCUGACUGUGCAACUGCGAACCAUGGCAGGAAUGGAUUAGAAGAGAUUACAGACCACCUCCCAUGCCAAUGCUUCUUAAACAUCAUGCUCCUCUGAACCAACACACAAAGCCACUGUGAUAUGGAAUAAGUAGAAAACAAAGCAAAACCAAGGAGUUUUGAUGCUUUCUGUUUAAUGCAUGCUGACAUAAGGAACACGACACACACAGUUGGGAAGUCAGAUAUGUUGGCAAAAGGAAGCUGUUUUGUGUAAGGGUAGGAGAUGAAGAAAAAGGAAAGUAGGAAUCGAAGGUAGUGAAAAACGUUAUUGAUUUGUCUCUAGUGAAGACACCAUUGUGGUAUUACAGAUCAUGGAGAGGGCAGGAAAAGUUAGUCAAGACAGAAUACAAAAGAUCCCUUCAGAUCAUAGGACUUGUAGCUGAAAGUCCACUCAAAGCACAUCAUAUUUUUACAGACAUAUCUUUCAAGACCAUGUUAACUGGUCAGCUUUUGUAAGGAUAAUUGUCAGAGUACAAGAAAAAUUUACAUUAUGCUUAAGGCUCCUCAUUCUCCCAUUGCACAAGUUGGCUGGAGCAGCUGUACAUUUACCUACCAGCUCUGUAGAGACAACAACAGGCUUGCUGCCCAAACAAAACUUGUGCUGCUGACAAAGCUCACUUAAUUCUUCUCUGAGCCAACAUUUUCUCUCCCUGCUCCCCUCAGACCCUCAAAGAGCAGUGCUGCUGGUCCAUACCAUUCC